CACGAAAUCACUUAAACCCUUAAAUCUUCAGUUACAACGUCACAACUUACAAGUAAAAUCCCUAUAAAACUCCAUCAGUAAAAUUCAUGACUCAUAUGGUUACCACUUACCAUCAGGAAUGAUUAUAAAUUAAAAAAAUAUGAAAUAUGUUUCCUGAGACGAUGACUGAAUUUUAGUCGAAAGCUACAAUAUUAAAAUGUUUAUUUUCGAAGUUACCUUUGUUUUAUAUUUUAUUAAAAUACUCAGUGGUUCCCGUAAUUUUUACCGGUUACGUAUGACGUCAUUGACGUACGUCAACGAAUGUUUUCACGAUUUCAUGUUUGUCAAUAGAGCCAAUCCCCCCCCGGUAAAUUUAGUUCUACAGCACUGCUGGAAAGCCUUGCAAAGUCUCUAUUGCACUAUUCAUACUAUUCGUACUAUUCGCGGACUAUUCGUCGACUAUUCGCGGACUAUUCGUACUAUUCAUCGACUA